AGAACACCACUCUUUUAAGACGUAAACCUUUCCAUUUUCCUUGGAGAGCUGAUAUCACGAAUGAAGGAAGCGACAUUGUUUCUCAUUAUGCAAUGUGGCACACAGAGCCAGGACAAUUCUACGGCCUUCGAGCUGACAUGAGUAUAUGGGCUUCACCAAAUCAAGGAACUUCUCAAGAAUCUGGAGCAUCCUUGCAGAUCUAUUGUCAAGAUGGAGGAAACUACAACUUAAUUCAAGUUGGAUUUCAUAUUUCCCCCUCUUUAUACCAUAACAGAGAUAUUCGCUUCUUUACAUAUUGGACC